UACGGGGGGGCAAGCGUUGUUCGGAAUUACUGGGCGUAAAGGGCUCGUAGGCGGCCAACUAAGUCAGACGUGAAAUCCCUCGGCUUAACCGAGGAACUGCCCUCCAAACUGCUUGGCUUGAGUCCGGGAGAGGUGAGUGGAAUUCCCAGUGUAGCGGUGAAAUGCGUAGAUAUUCGGAGGAACACCAGAAGCGAAGGCGGCUCACUGGCCCGAUACUGACGCUGAGGCGCGAAAGCGUGGGGAGCAAACAGG
rnacentral:rRNA from 1 species